ensembl:lncRNA
CUGUAGUCCUGUAGUUGCUCGCGCCUACAAGUUUGAGACCAGCCUGGGCAACAGGAGGAAAUCUCUGCGCCAAUAAUUAAUUAAUUAAUGAUUGAUUAAAAUGUAAAAGGAGGCAGAGAGCCAGGCAAGGCUACCCAAAGUCAGCUCCCUGUGAAUAACGGGCAAGGUCCCCGCCACCCCCGUUUCAGACAGUAGCCAAAGCAGCCCAGGUUCCCACCAGGAGAGCCACCGAGGGGCUUGGUGCCGCUCCAGGCUCGCCAGAGGUCGGGACUGCAGGGGCCCUGCCCCCUGUGCCGCCAGCCCUGCUCAUCACCACCGCCAGCCCGCCUCCAGGGCUGCUGGGGGAAGCGGUCCAGCUGGCAGCAGACACUAGGACGUGCGGGGCGGCCCGGCCGCGGUCCCCGGUCCCCGUGGGAGUCUUCAGCGCCGCAAGAAGUCGCUUUCUCAGGGUACCUGCAGGGGUCCGAGCAGCAGGGCCUGGUUCCUUGGCGUCCUAUGGAUCUGCACCACUCUGAGCUGAGUGGUGGGUAAGAGAUGCGCGUGGAGAGAAAGACUUCGCCGGGAGAAAGGAGGCCGCGCGCCAGAGGUGCUCAGUUCCGAGUUUCCUUGAGCUGGGCCCGGCCCGCUUUCCCCACUGAACUGCCGUCGAGUGCACAGCCCCCCCCCCCCGCCCACCCCGAUCGAUCGUAAAGUUCCAGAAGCUGCAGUGACGACCGGCCCGUCCUUUCAACCCGACAGCCGGAUCCCAGCCUUGCAGGUGCGGGGCGCGGGGGACCGGAGCGGUUCGGGACCCAGGUGACGCUGAGCCCCGGGGCCCUCGGGCCCGCUAGUGCAGGGAGUUGGUGCCCCGGAGCUCAGGGACAGAGAGGGUCAGAGAUGGGGCUUGAAACGGGGUGCGGGUGCUGCCCAGAAUGCAAAGUGAGCUUCCCGGCCGCCAGAGCAUCUGGGGGUUUCUGUCCGUCCGUCCGUUUGUCUUUGCUUUCGGUCUUUGGCGGGAGCAGAACUCACCCCGGCGGCGUCUGCAGUCCCCGGGGCGGCCUCAGGUUCUAGCCGUGCACGAGACCGGUGUGGACCGGUGCUGCGGGAGAUGCCGAGCUCGGUCAGUCCCUGGGCCGCGACAGGAGAGGAGAGGACGCUGGGGACCGCAGAGAAGCAGAGCCCAGGGGACCCGAGCCCCCGGCCUGGCCGCGCAGUUUUCCUGGCGGGUUUCCGUGGUGUCCUCUCGCAGGUCCGGAAGGGGGAAGGAUGUCAGAGGCCCUGCCCACCUGAGGGCCCGGCUGGCUGCGUUCGAGGCGAGAGGAGACAGCCAGUGCGAAGCUUCCGGAGGUCUAGGACAAAGCCUAAAGGGAUUGGGAAGCGCAGGUUCCUGGCGUUACUGCCUCGGAAAACACGAAGGGAUGGCACAGGAACACGCGCGGCCUCUUGGACCGGCACCCUGGAAACCGCAUCCCCGGGGCCCCGACGGGAGUGCCGGGUGGGAGGCAGGGACUCUGAGCGGGAAGGCGACUGAGAGUGGGCCUGCCCUGGCCUCGCAGGAAGGGCACCCCGAACCGCCCUGUACCCCCGAAGGCCGGGCAAUCCUCUUCCUCAGCAGACCCUGCGGGCAGCUUUCUCUACAACAGGGGACCCAGGAGACAAGCAGCGGCCAGGACUGGACCCAGGCCGGCAGUGGACAGGAGGCCGGAAGCAAGAUGCAGACUCGGAGCUUGGAGCUCGGAGCUCGGGGCUCCCAGGAAAUGCACCUCUGACUUGCAAUAUGGCACCAGAGGAGGGCCGCUGGCUGGCAUGAGAGUCCCUGAAGAGUAAAAGAAUGCUGGGGCUGGAGAGAGGAACACCGAAGGGGAAAGAGAAUGCCCCGAGGCGAGGAGGAAGCGGACCUUCUGCAGGCAGCCACCCCCAACUCCAUCUAAAGUCCCGUUUCUCUCCCCUUAGGUCACGAUGGAGGGAGGCAAAUCUCUGCUCUGACCUGUGAACAAAAGCUGACAGCUCUCUAUAGUAUUAUCUCCUUGAUUUUAGGCCGAAGCUCACAUCUUGUUUCCCAGGUAAAGGGAAUAUUUCAUCAGGCCAUAUUUCAUGCCAGAAACGUGCCAUUUUCUAGAUCUCAGCUGACCUGAACUCUAUGCUGUUAAUGGAACUAAAAUACAACCAACUUGCCACCCCCAAGAAGUCUAGAGGACAGGCCUGGGGUGGAAGGAAAGGAGCAGAGAGAAGGAAAGACUACGAGGCUGGCGCCUGGGCGUGAUUAGACCGUCUACCCCGCCCGCCGCAACCUCGCAUAUAGCCCACAAGGUGGCGCCACAAAGCAGUCGCAGCGGGACGAACCAACUGCGAGUCCAGCGAGGCGUAUGUCCGUCACCGUCCGGGUUUCCAAUACCCAGGACGUGGAGUUACAGAAGUCGCCACGUGAAUUUUUUUUUUAAAAAG